rnacentral:rRNA from 1 species
UACGAAGGGGGCUAGCGUUGUUCGGAAUCACUGGGCGUAAAGGGCGCGUAGGCGGCUAAUCAAGUCGGGGGUGAAAGCCCGUGGCUCAACCACAGAAUUGCCUUCGAUACUGUUUGGCUUGAGACCGGAAGAGGACAGCGGAACUGCGAGUGUAGAGGUGAAAUUCGUAGAUAUUCGCAAGAACACCAGUGGCGAAGGCGGCUGUCUGGUCCGGUUCUGACGCUGAGGCGCGAAAGCGUGGGGAGCAAACAGG